rnacentral:lncRNA from 1 species
CAGGGAGACGGCGGCGUCAUCCAAGUGCGCAGACGCCGCGGCGUUCGUCCCUCCCCCAGUACUGCCCUGCCCGAGAUCAUCCGUCUCGCCUCCAGUUCUUCACCGGCUGAGCUGGGUACGGACAUCUCAGUGACCACGAGCUAACAUAGCACGUGAAACUGACCUCAGGAAGAACGAAGCCUGGAGACCCGGAGUGCGACAGCGACCUCCGGACUGAAGUGGAAGAAGCGUAGCGAGGCCUUCGUGUCCUCGCUGUGGGGGGCGGGGCUUGUUGUGCAGGCGGGGCUCACGUGGUACUUUGGUACUUUGGAUGACUGAAGGGAAGCUUGGUACCCGCCUGGUCACUACCCGGAAGUCCAGCCGGAGUAGCACUACCCUGGAGUCCACCCGGCUGUGAAGCGGUGGUGCUCUUAGGGGUGCUUGACGCCCUCAUUGUUAGAAACUGAUGGGUACUGUUGGCCGAUUCCUAGACCCGCUUUUGACCUACGUGAUAAAUGUGUUUCCGGAACUCUGCCAAAAAGUGUUCUGGAGGUUUUUGUUUGUUUCGGAGCCAAGGCCUCCCUCGUAGCUCUUAAUGGCCUGAAACACUCUUUGUAGCCUAGACUGGCAUUGAAGUCAAGUUAGCCCUGCCUUUGCCUCCCUGGGCUCUGGGAUUACCCUGCCUUUCUUGAUUAUUUCUAUUUGAACAAAUAUGAACAAACUAUGUGGCCACCACA